rnacentral:rRNA from 1 species
AAGGGCACCACAAGAACGCGUGGAGCAUGUGGCUUAAUUUGACUCAACGCGGGAAAUCUUACCGGGUCCGGACACACUGAGGAUUGACAGGCAAUAUUAAAAAUUAAAAGGAUUCUUCUUUUUUUUUUUAUGUUAAAUAUGCUAGUCCUUUCAUGAUUAUGUGAUAGGUGGUGCAUGGCCGUUCUUAGUUCGUGGAGUGAUCUGUCUGCUUAAUUGCGUUUCACUAAGGACUCAGAUACUAUGUGUGUUUGCAAAAAAGAAGCUAAAGCUCUGACCCUUCAUUGUGUGUCUUUGUUUUAGUUUUUUUUUUUUUGCGCGCACUACUUGAGUCCUCAUUGCAACGAACGUGACCGCAACCUCUUGUUGCCUUUAUGUUUGUUUUGGGAAUUUUUUUUUCAAAACAUUUUAAAGGCUUUUUUCUUUGAAAACUAGAGGGACCGCUGUAAUCUUUUAAACCAGAGGAAGGUUGCGGCAAUAACAGGUCUGUGAUGCCCUUAGAUGUUCCGGGCUGCACACGUGCUACAAUGAUUAUUGCAGUGAGCAUCUCAAAUUGAUUUACACCGUUUGUAUUCUUGUUUUUCUUUCCUUUUUUUUUUUUUUGAUGGUACACAUUUUUUUGUGUAUUUGUUAAAAAAAAAAGAGGUGAAAGAACGCAAAUUACACGGUAAAGCCUACUUCGACAGUAAGUGGGUAAUCAAUUAGAAGUAAUGAUUUCCCUUUUUUUAGCACAUCUAUGCACGGCUAUUAUAUCCGGCCUAAGUUUUUCUUAGUUACCGCGUAUGUGAUAGUUUUUUUUCGUGCGUGCAAUUGUUAAUUCAUGGUAGGGACAGACCAUUGUUAAUUGUUGGUCUCGGUCUCAACUAGGAAUGCCUUGUACGGGUCUUUGGUUCAACAGACCACCCGGAAUACGUCCCUGCCCUUUGUACACACCGCCCGUCGCUCUUACCGAUGGACUUCUCUGUGAGUUUGAGGGACUGGAUUUUCGAAUCUAUGGAAACUUAAACGAACAGUGUGGUCUAAAGGAAAGAGAAGUCCUAACAAGGCAUCGGUAGGUGAACCU